UGUUGGGUCCUGUGCGGCAGAACACUGUGAAUCCCGUCAGGGCCGGAAGGCAGCAGCGGUAAGCAGAACGUUCUGGGUGACACGGGGGUGCCUGACAUGC
rnacentral:SRP_RNA from 1 species